rnacentral:rRNA from 1 species
GUCGAGGGAGAUUGUUGGAUUCGUCUGACAUGAAACCGGCGCACGGGUGCGUAACACGUAUGCAACCUACCUUUAACUGGGGUAUAGCUCAGAGAAAUCUGAAUUAAUCCCCCAUAAGACUACGACAUGGCAUCAUGAUGUAGUUAAAGCUCCGGCGGUUAAGGAUGGGCAUGCGGUACAUUAGCUAGUUGGUGAGGUAAUGGCUCACCAAGGCUACGAUGUAUAGGGGGUCUGAGAGGGUGAUCCCCCACACUGGUACUGAGACACGGACCAGACUCCUACGGGAGGCAGCAGUAGGGAAUAUUGGUCAAUGGACGCAAGUCUGAACCAGCCAUGCCGCGUGAAGGAUGAAGGCCCUAUGGGUCGUAAACUUCUUUUAUUAGGGAAGAAAAAAUGGGAUGCGUCCUAUACUGACGGUACUUAAUGAAUAAGGAUCGGCUAACUUCGUGCCAGCAGCCGCGGUAAGACGAAGGAUCCAAGCGUUGUCCGGAUUUACUGGGUUUAAAGGGUGCGUAGGCGGAAAAUUAAGUCAGUGGUGAAAGCCCGCAGCUCAACUGUGGAACUGCCAUUGAAACUGGUUUUCUUGAAUAUAGCUGAGGCAGAUGGAAUAUAACAUGUAGCGGUGAAAUGCUUAGAUAUGUUAUAGAACACCGAUUGCGAAGGCAGUCUGCUAAACUAUUAUUGACGCUGAGGCACGAAAGCGUGGGGAGCGAACAGGAUUAGAUACCCUGGUAGUCCACGCCCUAAACG